UCCCUGGUGGCUCAGAGGUUGAAGCGUCUGCCUCCAAUGCAGGAGACCUGGGUUUGAUCCCUGGGUGGGGAA
rfam:TPA: Bos taurus chromosome 9, whole genome shotgun sequence.